rnacentral:rRNA from 1 species
GAUGAACGCUGGCGGCGUGCUUAACACAUGCAAGUCGAACGAAGCGUAUUCAAGUGAAGUUUUCGGACAAAGCGAGGAUAUGACUUAGUGGCGGACGGGUGAGUAACGCGUGGGCAACCUGCCUUUCACAGCGGGAUAACAGAGGGAAGCUUCUGCUAAUACCGCAUAUACCUUUAUAACGCAUGUUAGGGAGGGGAAAGAAUUAUCGGUGAGAGAUGGGCCCGCGUCCGAUUAGAUAGUUGGUGGGGUAACAGCCUACCAAGUCGACGAUCGGUAGCCGGCUUGAGAGAGUGAACGGCCACAUUGGGACUGAGACACGGCCCAAACUCCUACGGGAGGCAGCAGUGGGGGAUAUUGGACAAUGGGGGCAACCCUGAUCCAGCGACGCCGCGUGAGUGAAGAAGUAUUUCGGUACGUAAAGCUCUAUCAGCAGGGAAGAAAGAAGACGGUACCUGACUAAGAAGCCCCGGCUAACUACGUGCCAGCAGCCGCGGUAAUACGUAGGGGGCAAGCGUUAUCCGGAAUUACUGGGUGUAAAGGGAGCGUAGACGGUUAAACAAGUCUGAAGUGAAAUGCCGGGGCUCAACCUCGGAGCUGCUUUGGAAACUGUAGAACUGGAGUGUCGGAGGGGUAAGCGGAAUUCCCAGUGUAGCGGUGAAAUGCGUAGAUAUUGGGAGGAACACCGGCGGCGAAGGCGGCUUACUGGACGACAACUGACGUUGAGGCUCGAAGGCGUGGGUAGCAAACAGG